rnacentral:rRNA from 1 species
AUGCUGGAGGUAUCAGAAGUGCGAAUGCUGACAUAAGUAACGAUAAAGCGGGUGAAAAGCCCGCUCGCCGGAAGACCAAGGGUUCCUGUCCAACGUUAAUCGGGGCAGGGUGAGUCGACCCCUAAGGCGAGGCCGAAAGGCGUAGUCGAUGGGAAACAGGUUAAUAUUCCUGUACUUGGUGUUACUGCGAAGGGGGGACGGAGAAGGCUAUGUUGGCCGGGCGACGGUUGUCCCGGUUUAAGCGUGUAGGCUGGUUUUCCAGGCAAAUCCGGAAAAUCAAGGCCGAGGCGUGAUGACGAGGCACUACGGUGCUGAAGCAACAAAUGCCCUGCUUCCAGGAAAAGCCUCUAAGCAUCAGGUAACAUCAAAUCGUACCCCAAACCGACACAGGUGGUCAGGUAGAGAAUACCAAGGCGCUUGAGAGAACUCGGGUGAAGGAACUAGGCAAAAUGGUGCCGUAACUUCGGGAGAAGGCACGCUGAUAUGUAGGUGAAGUCCCUCGCGGAUGGAGCUGAAAUCAGUCGAAGAUACCAGCUGGCUGCAACUGUUUAUUAAAAACACAGCACUGUGCAAACACGAAAGUGGACGUAUACGGUGUGACGCCUGCCCGGUGCCGGAAGGUUAAUUGAUGGGGUCAGCGCAAGCGAAGCUCUUGAUCGAAGCCCCGGUAAACGGCGGCCGUAACUAUAACGGUCCUAAGGUAGCGAAAUUCCUUGUCGGGUAAGUUCCGACCUGCACGAAUGGCGUAAUGAUGGCCAGGCUGUCUCCACCCGAGACUCAGUGAAAUUGAACUCGCUGUGAAGAUGCAGUGUACCCGCGGCAAGACGGAAAGACCCCGUGAACCUUUACUAUAGCUUGACACUGAACAUUGAGCCUUGAUGUGUAGGAUAGGUGGGAGGCUUAGAAGUGUGGACGCCAGUCUGCAUGGAGCCGACCUUGAAAUACCACCCUUUAAUGUUUGAUGUUCUAACGUGGACCCGUAAUCCGGGUUGCGGACAGUGUCUGGUGGGUAGUUUGACUGGGGCGGUCUCCUCCUAAAGAGUAACGGAGGAGCACGAAGGUUGGCUAAUCCUGGUCGGACAUCAGGAGGUUAGUGCAAUGGCAUAAGCCAGCUUGACUGCGAGCGUGACGGCGCGAGCAGGUGCGAAAGCAGGUCAUAGUGAUCCGGUGGUUCUGAAUGGAAGGGCCAUCGCUCAACGGAUAAAAGGUACUCCGGGGAUAACAGGCUGAUACCGCCCAAGAGUUCAUAUCGACGGCGGUGUUUGGCACCUCGAUGUCGGCUCAUCACAUCCUGGGGCUGAAGUAGGUCCCAAGGGUAUGGCUGUUCGCCAUUUAAAGUGGUACGCGAGCUGGGUUUAGAACGUCGUGAGACAGUUCGGUCCCUAUCUGCCGUGGGCGCUGGAGAACUGAGGGGGGCUGCUCCUAGUACGAGAGGACCGGAGUGGACGCAUCACUGGUGUUCGGGUUGUCAUGCCAAUGGCACUGCCCGGUAGCUAAAUGCGGAAGAGAUAAGUGCUGAAAGCAUCUAAGCACGAAACUUGCCCCGAGAUGAGUUCUCCCUGACCCUUUAAGGGUCCUGAAGGAACGUUGAAGACGACGACGUUGAUAGGCCGGGUGUGUAAGCGCAGCGAUGCGUUGAGCUAACCGGUACUAAUGAACCGUGAGGCUUAACCUU